UACGUAGGGGGCUAGCGUUGUCCGGAAUCAUUGGGCGUAAAGCGCGUGUAGGCGGUCCGGUAAGUCCGCUGUGAAAGUCGGGGGCUCAACCCUCGAAUGCCGGUGGAUACUGUCGGGCUAGAGUGCGGAAGAGGCGAGUGGAAUUCCUGGUGUAGCGGUGAAAUGCGCAGAUAUCAGGAGGAACACCGAUGGCGAAGGCAGAUCUCUGGGCCGUAACUGACGCUGAGGCGCGAAAGCUAGGGGAGCGAACAGG
rnacentral:rRNA from 1 species